rnacentral:rRNA from 1 species
AUUAGCGGCGGACGGGUGAGUAACACGUGGGCAACCUGCCUGUAAGACUGGGAUAACUUCGGGAAACCGGAGCUAAUACCGGAUGAUUCUUAUUAACACAUGUUGAUAAGCUAAAAGACGGCGCAAGCUGUCACUUACAGAUGGGCCCGCGGCGCAUUAGCUAGUUGGUAAGGUAAUGGCUUACCAAGGCAACGAUGCGUAGCCGACCUGAGAGGGUGAUCGGCCACACUGGGACUGAGACACGG